CCAAGUGGAGAGUGGGUGCCAAAAAUUAAAGCAAAUAAUGGGUGCUUACUCACGAGGCCAUCUCUAUUAACAUUAAUAAUGAGGCCAUGGCUACCAUGAAAGUCAUCUUCCAUCAAUCUUCUUCGGAAUUUCUUCCAAAUUUCUUCUCUUUCAUGCACUCAUCAAAGUUGUAUUGAUUAAGAAAAGAGAACUAGUGGAUCAUCCAAUUUCGACGUAAUUCAUUGGAACCAGAUUUUCUAA